rnacentral:rRNA from 1 species
AUAUACAGCCACAGCACCCUGAGAACACCCAAUCUCAUCUGAUGUCAGAAACUAAGCAGAGUCAGGCCCGGUCAGUACUUGGAUGGGAGCCCAUUCGGGCAUAGCGGGUGCUGUGGGCU